rnacentral:rRNA from 1 species
UACGUAGGGGGCGAGCGUUGUCCGGAUUUAUUGGGCGUAAAGAGCGCGUAGGCGGUUCGGUAAGUCUGUUGUGAAAUCCUGAGGCUCAACCUUGGACGUGCGAUGGAUACUGCCGGGCUAGAGGACUGGAGAGGAGACUGGAAUUUACGGUGUAGCGGUGAAAUGCGCAGAUAUCAGGAAGAACACCAAUGGCGAAGGCAGCUCUCUGGGACGGUACUGACGCUGAGACGCGAAAGCGUGGGGAGCGAACAGG